GCUGAGCACCAGCUUGCUGGUGUGGAUGAGUGGCGAACGGGUGAGUAAUACGUGAGUAACCUGCCCUUGACUCUGGGAUAAGCCCGGGAAACUGGGUCUAAUACUGGAUGCUACAUGUCACCGCAUGGUGGUGUGUGGAAAGGGUUUACUGGUCUUGGAUGGGCUCACGGCCUAUCAGCUUGUUGGUGAGGUAAUGGCUCACCAAGGCGACGACGGGUAGCCGGCCUGAGAGGGUGACCGGCCACACUGGGACUGAGACACGGCCCAGACUCCUACGGGAGGCAGCAGUGGGGAAUAUUGCACAAUGGGCGAAAGCCUGAUGCAGCGACGCCGCGUGAGGGAUGACGGCCUUCGGGUUGUAAACCUCUUUCAGCAGGGAAGAAGCCACAAGUGACGGUACCUGCAGAAGAAGCGCCGGCUAACUACGUGCCAGCAGCCGCGGUAAUACGUAGGGCGCAAGCGUUGUCCGGAAUUA
rnacentral:rRNA from 1 species